CUGGAGCGGUUCAAUACCUCGUCUAGCCUGCUUUUGAGUCCCUGAUUUUUUUUUUUUCUCCCUGACAAACUCAUGGCUGCGUUUCUUUCUUCACCAGAACAACCAUCCCGGCUAGGAAUGCUAUUCCUACAUUAAGAAUAAUUUGGAACCCCAGAGAAGUUGCUCUCUCUUCACCAGCUCCAACUUUUUCUGUUGUUGCUUUUUUUUUUUAAUUUUUUUGUGGACAAAGAUCCAACUGUAAAAAAAAAAAAGUCUUACGUAACAGUUCAGGACUACUUCGGUUCUAUUUACUGGUUGAAGAAACUAAGGCCCAGAGAAGUUAGGUGACUUGCCCAAGGUCACACAGCAAACAACUGACACACCUGGGAUUAGAACUCAGGGCUUGACUUCCAGGCCCAUGCUCUUUCUACUAGGCCACACUGCUUCCCAUUGAGUCACUGAGUGAGGUAUAGUACUGGUGCUGAGCAGAGUUAUAGCAGAUACAUUACUAGCAGAUGGGCCGCAGCCAUUAAAGAUGUGUUCCCAGAGACUGAAAUCCGAAUUGCUUCCAGGGGUGGAUGCAAGAUACAUCCAACUCAUCUGAAGCAGCUUUAUACAAAAGUAUCGGAAUGUCAUUAAUUACAAAAGUUGUGCAAUCUGAAAUAUGAAAGAUAAAUAUUUGCAAAUUAACAAGUCUACCAUUCCUUCUCAACUCAUCAAGCAAAUUAAGUAUUUGAAACCUCAGUAAGACCCUUCAAUAUCACUUCAGAUUCUCUGUUGGCUUGCCAGGCUUUCUUCACAGUUUACAUCAUAUAAGUCAACAAUCAAUCAAUGGUAUUUAUUAAGCACUUUCUAAGUGCAGAACACAGUACUAUGCGCUUGGGAGAGACCAGCACAAGAGAAUUAAUGGACACAUUCUCUGCUCAUAACAAGCUUACAGGUAAGCAAACUCUUUUACAAACAUCUACAUGAAACAUUAUUUUCUUUUGGUUCA